rnacentral:rRNA from 1 species
AACGAACGCUGGCGGCGUGGCUAAGACAUGCAAGUCGAACGAACUAUUCAAUUGAUUUAUCAAGAGGAUAGUUAGUGGCGUAAGGGUGAGUAACGGAUAGGUAACGUACCCUCCGCUUCGGAAUAGCGUCGUUCGCCUUCGGGCGAACUUCCGAAAAGGGCGGUAAUACCGAAAAUAUUACUCGUUGAUAGACGAAUAAUUAAAGAUUUAUCGGCAGAGGAGCGGCCUAUCUCCUAUCAGUUUGUUGGUGAGGUAAUGGCUCACCAAGGCUAUGACGGGUAGCGGGACUGAGAGGUUGUCCCGCCACAUCGGGACUGAGACACUGCCCGGACCUCCACGGAGGGCUGCAGUAACGAAUAUUGCGCAAUGGGCUAAAGCCUGACGCAGCGACGCCGCGUGCGGGAGGAAGUCCUUCGGGAUGUAAACCGCUGUCAGGGGAAAGAAACUGCACUUCGGUGCAUUGAUCUACCCCAGAGGAAGUCACGGCUAACUUCGUGCCAGCAGCCGCGGUAAGACGAAGGUGGCAAGCGUUGUUCGGUAUCACUGGGCUUAAAGAGUGUGUAGGCGGAAAGGUAAGCGUCCUGUGAAAGCCCCCGGCUCAACCGGGGAAUGGCGAGACGUACUGCCUUUCUUGAGCCAAGUAGGGGUGCAUGGAACUGUUGGUGGAGCGGUGGAAUGCGUAGAUAUCAACAGGAACGCCGGUGGAGAAAUCGGUGCACUGGGCUUGUGCUGACGCUGAGACACGAAAGCGUGGGGAGCGAACGGGAUUAGAUACCCCGGUAGUCCACGCCGUAAACGAUGUCUACUAGGUUGUGGAAGUUCUGACGCUGCCACGGCCGAAGCUAAAGUGCUAAGUAGACCGCCUGGGGAGACGGCCGCAAGGCU